AUUGAACGCUGGCGGCAGGCCUAACACAUGCAAGUCGAGCGGAUGAAGGGAGCUUGCUCCUGGAUUCAGCGGCGGACGGGUGAGUAAUGCCUAGGAAUCUGCCUGGUAGUGGGGGAUAACGUCCGGAAACGGGCGCUAAUACCGCAUACGUCCUGAGGGAGAAAGAGGGGGAUCUUCGGACCUCACGCUAUCAGAUGAGCCUAGGUCGGAUUAGCUAGUUGGUGGGGUAAAGGCCUACCAAGGCGACGAUCCGUAACUGGUCUGAUAGGAUGAUCAGUCACCCUGGAACUGAGACACGGUCCAGACUCCUACGGGAGGCAGCAGUGGGGAAUAUUGGACAAUGGGCGAAAGCCUGAUCCAGCCAUGCCGCGUGUGUGAAGAAGGUCUUCGGAUUGUAAAGCACUUUAAGUUGGGAGGAAGGGCAGUAAGUUAAUACCUUGCUGUUUUGACGUUACCAACAGAAUAAGCACCGGCUAACUUCGUG
rnacentral:rRNA from 1 species